rnacentral:rRNA from 1 species
GUACCCCCUGCUCAAUGUUCUUUCUCAAUAGCUGCAGAAUUUUAACUGUACUAAGGUAGCAUAAUAAUUUGCCUUUUAAUUAAAGGCUAGAAUAAAUGGGAUCACGAAAUUUUAAACUGUUUCUUUCUCUAUUUUUAAAAUUACUUUUAUAAUAAAAAUCAUUACAAAAUUAAAGAAAGACGACAAGACCCUAUCGAACUUCACUAAAGUUUAGCUGGGGUGGCAAUUUCUUUAGAAAUAUAUCUUUUUGUUAUACAUAAAAAUUAAAUAAACAAGUUACCGUAGGGAUAACAGCAAAAUUUAUAUUUAGAGACCUUAUCAAAAUUUAAGUUUUUGACCUCGAUGUUGAAUUGAAUUCCUUCAAAAGCAAAAUUUAUAUAAGUAAGUCUGUACGACUUUUAAAAUUCUACGUGAUCUGAGUU